rnacentral:rRNA from 1 species
CUGAACCAGCCAAGUAGCGUGAAGGAUGACUGCCCUAUGGGUUGUAAACUUCUUUUAUAAAGGAAUAAAAUCGGGUAUGCAUACCCGUUUGCAUGUACUUUAUGAAUAAGGAUCGGCUAACUCCGUGCCAGCAGCCGCGGUAAUACGGAGGAUCCGAGCGUUAUCCGGAUUUAUUGGGUUUAAAGGGAGCGUAGAUGGAUGUUUAAGUCAGUUGUGAAAGUUUGCGG